rnacentral:piRNA from 2 species
UGCUUGGAAAACGAGGAUCCACAUGUGUA